rnacentral:tRNA from 1 species
GGGAGUACGGCUCAGUGGUGGAGUGUGUGCUUAGAGUGCUCGAGGCCUGGGUUCGAUCCCCAGUACCUCCC